CCAUAUCUGCCUAAACCUUUUCUCUCUAUGUACCUGUGCAAUUGCCUUUUAAAUGUUGUGGUACCUGCCUCAACUAC